rnacentral:rRNA from 1 species
UACGGAAUGUGCAAACGUUAUUCGGAAUCACUGGGCUUAAAGAGUCCGUAGGCGGCUUGUUAGGUGAGGUGUGAAAUCCUCCGGCUCAACCGAGGAACUGCGCUUGAAACUACCAGACUCGAGGGAGAUAGAGGCGAGCGGAACUGUGAGUGGAGCGGUGAAAUGCGUUGAUAUUCACAGGAACUCCGGUGGCGAAGGCGGCUCGCUGGAUCUUUUCUGACGCUGAGGCGCGAAAGCUAGGGGAGCAAACGGG